rnacentral:misc_RNA from 1 species
UUUCCGUAGGUGAACCUGCGGAAGGAUCAUUAAUGAACCAACCGGUGUGGUUGUUGCUGGCCUUUUCGAAGGCAUGUGCACGCCCGCCAUUGUUUCAUCCAUCUCCGCCACCUGUGCAAACCUGGAGGCCAACCAGUCCAACCCUUCAAGUCACUUGUGGCUUGGUGUGAGGGCGGUUCACCCCGUCCUUGGACUGGUAAUGGUACUACGUUUUCUCACCAAUGCCUCAUGAAUGUAUAGAAUGUAUAUAAUCGGCUCAUGCCUAUAAAACCUAAUACAACUUUCAACAACGGAUCUCUUGGCUCUC